GUGGGGAAUAUUGGACAAUGGGGGCAACCCUGAUCCAGCCACGCCGCGUGAGUGAUGAAGGCCUUCGGGUCGUAAAGCUCUGUGGGGAGGGACGAACGUCCGGGUGAAGAAUCCGGGGUGACGGUACCUCCUUAGCAAGCACCGGCUAACUUCGUGCCAGCAGCCGCGGUAAUACGAAGGGUGCAAACGUUGCUCGGAAUCAUUGGGCGUAAAGCGCACGUAGGCGGCGCUGUAAGUCGGACGUGAAAUCCCUCGGCUCAACCGAGGACGUGCAUCCGAAACUACAGUGCUCGAGUAUGGAAGAGGGUCGCGGAAUUCUCGGUGUAGAGGUGAAAUUCGUAGAUAUCGGGAGGAACACCAGUGGCGAAGGCGGCGACCUGGGCCAAUACUGACGCUGAGGUGCGAAAGCGUGGGGAGCAAACAGGAUUAGAUACCCUUGUAGUCC
rnacentral:rRNA from 1 species